rnacentral:lncRNA from 1 species
GGAGUCAGUGUAAAGAGAAGGCUAAGGAUAACUCGGCUCUGGAGAGUAGAGAAUAUGCCUUCUCUUCUGCCCCUCCAGGAACCUUACUUUUUUUUUUUUAAACAAAAAACAAAAACAAAAAACAAAAACCAAAAACCAAAAACCAACCACCACCUUUUAUUUAAAAGUCUAACCUUGGGAAUUUGCUGGGGAGAAGGAACUCAGUGAAUAUUGCCCUGGGUCCUGGUAAUUCCACCUACUGAAGACAACUGCCCCUUCUGCUCAUAUUUCCUGAGUCAACAUGGCCGUUCCUAACUUUGAAGAGACUUUAGACAUUCUUUGUUACAAUGAACCUAGAAGAAAGAAGAGAAAUGAAACCUGAAAGAACAGAGGUCCACUGUCAGCAUUUGCACAGGAGGAAGUAUUUCGAAGCCCCCAUCACCUCGUCUGGCCUUAUAGACCUGCUGAUGAGGAAGGCCUUCUGCUCCCCUCCCCCAACCCUCUCCUCUUUCCAUCUCUUGCCUAAAGGCUGCUCCGUUUGGGGGACUGUGCCCAAGGUGCUGCAUGGUCGACCGACCGACCCCAGAGAAAGGCAGGCAUCAUCAUCUCAGCUGCUCCCUCUGCUCUAAGGACCGGGGACUAGGAACAUUCUGGCAAGAGAAGGGAGGGGGGGCCAAGCUUGGAGUCACACAUGGCUGCAUUUCGUAUGGCAAGGCUUUCUUGUUUGUGCUUUCUUCCUAUGGAAAAAAAAAAGGCUCUGGAAGGGGCCUGGGGAGCCAGAUCAAAUGUUCAAAUGUACUGGCAGGGAGCCAAGGCUCAACUUCUCUGCCAGGAACUCCACGUUCUCAAGUCUUCACUGCUGUUGAAACUGAUCGGGAAGGUUAAUGAGAUUAAUAUGGCCAAACACUGUGGGCUUCUGGGAAGCAAACAGCCAGGUAGGGAGGCCCAGUGUUGGACCAAGGUGGCUGGAAAUAAGGUAUACAACCCACUCCUAGAAAAGCUUGAGUGUUUUUACCGGACAAUCCCUGUGCCGGGGCUGGCGAGGGAAGCGCACAGAACUCUACGUCAUUGCUGAGGGGAAAUUUGACCAACAUCUAGGAUGGUCUGUAGGAAUGGGAUAGUGUGACAAUUCUACAUAUCUUACAAAGAUCAAAUCAACACAAUUCAUAUUUCUGUCGGCUUGAGCAAUGACUAUUCUAUGUUUUGGAGACUCUGAUCCUUUCUCUUCUAGCUCCUGGUACAGCCUAUAAUAAGCUGUAGUGAACUUCAGUCACCCUUCUGUGCUGAAGGGCAUGGGCACCCAGUCUUCCCAGCUAGCCGAGUUUCAAGACUUGGGAAAGGAGUUGCUUGCUCCAAGUGCUAAGUGCCUGUGAACAUUGACUAACUUCCCAUGCCCAAGAACUUCUCAUCCGUUUGGCCCCAACUAAAGACACAACGUAUGUAGCUACCAAAUGACAACUUUCCAGGUCAUCUGCCACCAGAGCCUGCCUCCCUCAGACCCAUACAUGGCACUCACACCUGGUGCAAGUGAGCUUGCUUGUCCUCUCAUCAUCUUGGCACCAUGUCUUCCCCUCUGGUCAUCUUAGUAAAGCCCCAAAGAACGGGCAAUAAUGUGAGAGCUGAAGGCUCGUCAGUGCCACUAUCUGUCUUAUUAUGAAUAAAAAAAUUUAAACCCAA